rnacentral:rRNA from 1 species
AUUGAACGCUGGCGGCAGGCCUAACACAUGCAAGUCGAGCGGAUGAAGGGAGCUUGCUCCUGGAUUCAGCGGCGGACGGGUGAGUAAUGCCUAGGAAUCUGCCUGGUAGUGGGGGAUAACGUCCGGAAACGGGCGCUAAUACCGCAUACGUCCUGAGGGAGAAAGUGGGGGAUCUUCGGACCUCACGCUCUCAGAUUAGCCUAGGUCGGAUUAGCUAGUUGGUGGGGUAAAGGCCUACCAAGGCGACGAUCCGUAACUGGUCUGAGAGGAUGAUCAGUCACACUGGAACUGAGACACGGUCCAGACUCCUACGGGAGGCAGCAGUGGGGAAUAUUGGACAAUGGGCGAAAGCCUGAUCCAGACAUGCCGCGUGUGUGAAGAAGGUCUUCGGAUUGUAAAGCACUUUAAGUUGGGAGGAAGGGCAGUAAGUUAAUACCUUGCUGUUUUGACGUUACCAACAGAAUAAGCACCGGCUAACUUCGUG